CCUACGGGAGGCAGCAGUAGGGAAUUUUCCGCAAUGGGCGAAAGCCUGACGGAGCAAUACCGCGUGAGGGAAGAAUGCCUACGGGUUGUAAACCUCUUUUUCAGGGAGGAACAUAAUGACGUGUACCUGAAGAAUAAGCAUCGGCUAACUCCGUGCCAGCAGCCGCGGUAAGACGGAGGAUGCAAGUGUUAUCCGGAAUCACUGGGCGUAAAGCGUCUGUAGGUGGUUUAAUAAGUCAACUGUUAAAUCUUGAGGCUCAACCUCAAAAUCGCAGUCGAAACUAUUAGACUAGAGUAUAGUAGGGGUAAAGGGAAUUUCCAGUGGAGCGGUGAAAUGCGUAGAGAUUGGAAAGAACACCGAUGGCGAAAGCACUUUACUAGGCUAUUACUGACACUCAGAGACGAAAGCUAGGGUAGCAAAUGGGAUUAGAUACCCCAGCAGUCCUAGCUGUAAACUAUGGAUACUAGAUGUUGAACAGAUCGACCUGUGCAGUAUCAAAGCUAACGCGUUAAGUAUCCCGCCUGGGAAGUAUGCUCGCAAGGGUGAAACUCAAAGGAAUUGACGGCNGAGAGNGCGAGACGACACGAGGGAGAG
rnacentral:rRNA from 1 species